GCAUAUCAAUAAGCGGAGGAAAGAACCAACAGGGAUUGCCUCAGUAACGGCGAGUGAAGCGGCAACAGCUCAAAUUUGAAAUCUGGCCCUAGCGGUCCGAAUUGUAAUUUGUAGAGGAUGCUUUUGGUGGGGUGCCUUCCGAGUUCCCUGGAACGGGACGCCAGAGAGGGUGAGAGCCCCGUACGGUUGGACACCUACCCUAUAUAUAGCUCCUUCGACGAGUCGAGUAGUUUGGGAAUGCUGCUCUAAAUGGGAGGUAAAUUUCUUCUAAAGCUAAAUACCGGCCAGAGACCGAUAGCGCACAAGUAGAGUGAUCGAAAGAUGAAAAGCACUUUGAAAAGAGGGUUAAAUAGCACGUGAAAUUGUUGAAAGGGAGGCGUUUACGACCAGACCUCUUCCAGGCGGAUCAUCCGGUGUUCUCACCGGUGCACUUCGUCUGGUUUAGGCCAGCAUCGGUUUUCGUAGGGGGAUAAAGACCUGGGGAACGUAUCUCCUUCGGGAGUGUUAUAGCCCCUCGUGUAAUACCUCUACGGGGACCGAGGACCGCGCACUGCAAGGAUGCUGGCGUAAUGGUCGUCAACGACCCGUCUUGAAACACGGACCAAGGAGUCGAACAUUUGUGCGAGUGUUUGGGUAUUAAACCCUCACGCGUAAUGAAAGUGAACGGAGGUGAGAGCCCUUCGGGGUGCAUCAUCGACCGAUCCUGAUGUCUUCGGAUGGAUUUGAGUAAGAGCAUAACUGUUCGGACCCGAAAGAUGGUGAACUAUGCGUGGAUAGGGUGAAGCCAGAGGAAACUCUGGUGGAGGCUCGCAGCGGUUCUGACGUGCAAAUCGAUCGUCAAAUCUGCGCAUGGGGGCGAAAGUAUGUAUUAUCCCGGGGUGUAUACCCUAUAAUUCUCCCCUGGAGACAAUAAACAGUAUGCUAACAACAACUUCUUUAGGACUAUCGA
rnacentral:rRNA from 1 species